rnacentral:rRNA from 1 species
CCUACGGGAGGCAGCAGUGGGGAAUAUUGCACAAUGGGCGAAAGCCUGAUGCAGCGACGCCGCGUGAGGGAUGACGGCCUUCGGGUCGUAAACCUCUUUCAGCAGGGAAGAAGCGAAAGUGACGGUACCUGCAGAAGAAGCGCCGGCUAACUACGUGCCAGCAGCCGCGGUAAUACGUAGGGCGCAAGCGUUGUCCGGAAUUAUUGGGCGUAAAGAGCUCGUAGGCGGCUUGUCACGUCGGAUGUGAAAGCCCGGGGCUUAACCCCGGGUCUGCAUUCGAUACGGGCUAGCUAGAGUGUGGUAGGGGAGAUCGGAAUUCCUGGUGUAGCGGUGAAAUGCGCAGAUAUCAGGAGGAACACCGGUGGCGAAGGCGGAUCUCUGGGCCAUUACUGACGCUGAGGAGCGAAAGCGUGGGGAGCGAACAGGAUUAGAUACCCUGGUAGUCCACGCCGUAAACGUUGGGAACUAGGUGUUGGCGACAUUCCACGUCGUCGGUGCCGCAGCUAACGCAUUAAGUUCCCGCCUGGGGAGUCGGCCGCAAGGCUAAAACUCAAAGGAUUGACGGCNGAGACGNGCGACGACGACGACGAGGAGAGG